CUUCGGUCUGGUGGCGAGUGGCGAACGGGUGAGUAAUGUAUCGAACGCCUUGCGGGCGGGGGAUAAUUCUACGCGAGUAGAGGCUACAUUACCGCAUACGCCCUUCGGGGGAAAGCGGGGACCUUUCGGGCCUCGCACUAUUAGGAGCGGCCGAUAUCGGAUUAGCUGGGGUUGGUGGGGUAACGGCUCACCAAGGCGACGAUCCGUAGCUGGUUUGAGAGAUUACCAGCCACACUGGGACCGGAGACACGGCCCAGACUCCUACGGGAGGCAGCAGUGGGGAAUUUGGACAAUGGGGAAACCCCUGAUCCAGCCAUAUCCGCGUGCGAUGAAGCCUUCGGGUUGUAAAGCACUUUUGGUAGAAGAAAUGCACGGGAUAAUACCCGUGCAACUGACGGUACCUGAGAAUAAGCACCGGCUAACUACGCCAGCAGCCGCGGUAAUACGUAGGUGCCGUUAAUCGGAAUUACUGGGCGUAAAGCGUGCAGGCGGUUCGAAAGAAAGAUGUGAAAUCCUUAUGAGCUUAACUUUGGAACUGCAUUUUUAACUACCGGACAGAGUGCCGAGGGAGGUGGAAUUCGCGUAGCAGUAAAGGUGUAGAUAUGUGGAGGAACACCAUUUACAGCCCUGUGGAUACCACCGACGCUCAUGCACGAAGUGGAGCAAAACAGAUUAGAUACCCUGGUAGUCCUCAAUGCCCUAAACGAUGUCAACUAGUUGUUGGGGCCUUCGCCUUGGUAGUGCAGCUAACGCGAAGUUGACCGCCUGGGGAGUACGGUCGCAAGAUUAAAACUCAAAGAAUGAUUGGGACCUGCACAAGCGGUGGAUGAUGGGAUUAAUUCGAUGCAACGGUGCAACUACCAGCCCUUGAUAUUGCCUGAAUCCCGAAGAGAUUUGGGAGUGCUCGCAAGAGAACCGAACACAGGUGCCGCUAUUGCUGUCAGCUGUGUCGAGAUGUUGUAAGCAAGUCCCGCAACGAGCGCAACCCUUGUCAUUAUUGCUACGAAAAGGGCACUCUAAUGAGACUGCUGGUGACAAACCGGAGAAGGUAUGACGUCGAGUCCUCAUGGCCUAUGGGUAGGGCUUCACACGUCAUACAAUGGUCGGGACAGAGGGUCGCCAACCUGCAGGGGAGCCAUCCAGAAACCCGAUCAAACCGGAUCGCAGUCUGCAACUGACUGCGGGGGCUGAAUCGCUAGUAAUCGCGGAUCAGCAUGUCGCGGUGAAUACGUUCCUGGCCUGCACACACCGCCUGGUCACCAAGCGGGAGUGGGUUUUACCAUAGAAGUAGUUAGCCUAACCGUAAGGAGGGCACUUACCACGUGAUUCCAUGAUCGGGGUGAAGUCGUAACGGGGCGUAA
rnacentral:rRNA from 1 species